CCUACGGGAGGUAGCAGUGAGGAAUAUUGGUCAAUGGGCGGAAGCCUGAACCAGCAAAGUAGCGUGCGGGAUGAAGGCCCUACGGGUCGUAAACCGCUUUUGCACGGGGAUAACACCCUCCACUUGUGGAGGUCUGCAGGUACCGUGCGAAUAAGGGCAGGCUAAUUCCGUUCCAGCAGCCGCGGUAAUACGGAAGGCCCGAGCGUUAUCCGGCUUCAUUGGGCUUAAAGGGAGCGUAGGAGGGCGUGCAAGUCCGCGGUAAAAUCGCGCGGCGCAACCGCGCCCCGCAGUUGAAACUGGACGCCUUGAUUUCACAACAGGCCGGCGGAAUUCGUGGUGUAGCGGUGAAAUGCAUAGCUAUCACGAGGAACCCCGAUUGCGAAGGCAGCCUGCCGGGGUGCGACUGACGCUGAGGCUCGAAGGUGCGGGUAUCAAACAGGAUUAGAUACCCCUGUAGUC
rnacentral:rRNA from 1 species